GUGCAUCAUUUCAUAACCUCAUCCAAUGAGACAAAGCCUGACAAUGUUAACGGUGACUUCUCUGGUGACAUAAUUGUAGGGGAAAGAGUGAUGGGCAGGGAUGCAAGGGAUUAUUAAACCCUCGUAUGAACAAAUAUAAGGGAUCAGGAUGGAUCUUCCCUUUUACAAUUGUGACUCACAAACAGAAUCUAAAACAAUCAUUUUGGAAAAUGAAAUAAACCCAUGAUGUAUUGCGGCUUUGUAUGUUGCAAGGAGAGAAAAUGGAUUUAAUACUAUAGCAAAAGGAAAAAAAUAAAAAAAAUUAAAUGUUUUAGCAGUCAGCAUAUGGAGCAGUAAAUACUUGGCUAGGGUGUG